rnacentral:tRNA from 2 species
GCCAGGGUAGCUCAACGGCGGAGCAGGGUCUUCAUAAGGCCACGGCUGUGGGUUCGAAUCCCACCCCUGGUACUA